CUGCAGAACCAGAAACAACCCUUGCCUGGGCCAGGUGGAGGGAGGAAUUUGGCUAAUAGGUUUGCCUGGUGGGAGAAUACUGUGCCCCUGAGAAUUCUGUGGUGGUUCUUUUCCUCCAGCCCAGAUGCCAGGCUGGAUCCAUGGCAUCAAGAAUCCAUGAUUUCUGUUUCUAUCUACAAGGAUGAGAGAGAAAGGCAGCCAUCAGGACCCCCAGUAUGUAAGCCAUCUGGUACUGUGAGAAGCAGCCACCAUGUCACUCCAGUGCUUCACAUCCUCAUCCCUUCAUGAUUGUUUUAUGGAAGCCCUGAAUGAUUCCUAAAAGCCUUCCCUUCAAUGAGCACUUCAUUCUAGAAGUUCACAGAUGAUUUAUUUGCUGAUUUGCCACCUAAUGUCAUGGUAUGCCAGAAACUCAUCCCUUGCACAGCUGGAUUUUUCACUACUUUCAGCUGUAACUAAGCUAGACAACCAAUCCCACUUUUCUGGUUCCAUUUCUCUGCAAUUCUAUUUACGGUGUCAAAUUCCAUAUCAAUCAGAAUUCUAAGGUGCAAAGAAUAAACAACAAAAUGGACACUG